rnacentral:tRNA from 1 species
AGAAGAGUAGCUUAAUUGGUUAGAGCUGUGGUUUUCAAAACCAAAGGUUGAGGGUUCGAGUCCUUCUUCUUCUG